UGUUGAGCAUUUCCACAUAGAACUCCUUCUGCUGAUCCAUCAUCUCAUUCAAUGCCUCCACGGUGACUAAAUCUCCAUCACUACUGAUGUUUUUUCUGUUGCCCCGGGACAUGUUUAUCCGCUGGUUCGGGAUGAGAUGAACUUAGUGCAGUGGGAUCCUCGGGUAUUCUCAGUCAGACUGCCUUUGUCUCUGGUUCAGGCUGGUUCAGCACAGCAGGUGUGUAGGCCGAGGAAGAGUGAAUCCACCAAAUAUCAGGAAUCACAGAAAUCAUCCACCAACAUUGUUUGCAUAUGCUCUUUGCUAGUUACUGAAUUGUUGAAUAGUCCUUUAAACUAAAAACAUUAAAAUCCGUAGUAUAGAGUUAUAGUUAAAAAACAGGUGGAAGUGCCAGGAGCCAAACUUUUCAGCAGCUAGACAGGAAACAGGAAACCAAGUAGUCGUAUGAAUAAUCCUAUGAUUGGCUCUGUAGUGUAAGUGAACCAUAUCAUAUCAUUGGCUGGACACCUGUCAAUUACUGAUUUACACAACAAAAAGGCACAGAAAGGAAAUCAUUCGUCCACUUAAUUAGAUUAGAUUACGUCUAACAUUAGAUAUUAAUCAAUCUGUUUAUGCUGAAUUUUAUUUUGUGCGCACCAUGGAGUUUCUUGUGCGCAGAGACUUCGCGACCAGUGUGCAAUUGCGCAGCUUAGAGGGAACACUGAACAUAUAGUGAAUUAUUAACUUUUUUUUCCUCAUCAGAGGAGUUUUGCCGUAACAAAAUGGGAAAGUGCUUUUUGCACAUCCGGCCGAUAUUUGGAAGUUGUGUGACAAUUAUUUAUUGUAUGCAUUGUUGUUCAAUAAAUAUUAAGUUAAAUGGAGUACUGGUCUAUGUUCUACUCUAUGCAACUGUAUUGACACUUGCUCAAACAUUUUAGAUAAUUGAAUGUUUUUCAAAUGGUAAUGCAAUAAUUACUUUUCCUAGUAGGUAGUUACAUUUAUGAUGGAGUAAUUCAAUUAGUAAUUCAAUUACUUUUCUGGAAAUGUAACUGUAACUAAUUACAUUUUGGAAGUAAUUUGCCCAGCACUGGUUUUAGAGUACGUUUGAACGUACAGUUAGGAUUGCAACCCAUUUUUCCCAGAAUUCCCGAGACACAAUUUGACUUGUUUAAAUUACUAUGAUUUCCUGAGCUUCUGUUGUAUUUAAAAUUGUCUCUGUUUGCUUCCCAUCUAUGCGUACUCCACACACACAAUCGAAAGAGAAGUUUUGUCGACUUGAAAUGGAAGGAGAGAUGAUAGAUGAGGAAGGAGCAUUGAAGUCACCUUCAUAAAAAACGAUAUACGCGUUAUAACUCACUGGGUGACGCUUUCACAGUUUGAAUGGGUACAGCUAACUGUUAGAAUAGGCCUCUUUGGCACAUGUGAUUAGCUAGGUAGCUUGAGCUAUGCCGUUAUAUCGCUGUAACCCUUCUCUUGCUUUAUUAGCUUUCUCUAUGACACUCUUUGCACAUAUGUAGAAGUCACUCUCAGUUAAGACUACAAGGUCACACAUUAUCACACAAGCUAGGCAGAGUCGCCUCCUUGCAGGAAGGCGGCCCAGAGUAGUAUAAGAGCAGGAACCUUGGCGCUGGGAGUUAGACCUUCUUCCGCAUCUCGCAGAAAGGGCUCCACAGCUGUGCAUCGAUCAUUCUGGCAUACAUUAAAUAGUUAAACUGUGAAGGCUGCCUCUUGGUAAUUACUGUUAGCAUAUCGAGCAUUAACGAUAAAGAACUGGGAACGAACCUAACAUAAC